rnacentral:rRNA from 1 species
GCGCGAAAACUUUACAAUGCUGGCAACAGCGAUAAGGGAACCUCGAGUGCCAGGUUACAAAUCUGGCUGUCGAGAUGCCUAAAAAAGCAUUUCAUAGCAAGGGCCGGGCAAGACCGGUGCCAGCCGCCGCGGUAACACCGGCGGCUCGAGUGGUAACCGUUAUUAUUGGGUCUAAAGGGUCUGUAGCCGGCCGGAUAAGUCUCUUGAGAAAUCUGGCAGCUUAACUGUCAGGCUUUCAGGAGAUACUGUCUGGCUCGAGGCCGGGAGAGGUGAGAGGUACUUCGAGGGGUAGGGGUGAAAUCUUGGUAAUCCUUGAAGGACCACCAGUGGCGAAGGCGUCUCACCAGAACGGACCUGACGGCAAAGGGCGAAAGCUAGGGGCACGAACCGGAUUAGAAA